AAAAUCUCUUUUUUUUUCUUGAUAUUAUACUAUAUUACAACAUUCCUCCAUUCCUUUUUCUCCCUCUGAAUCGUCCCAUAUACCUCUUCCAAAUCUUUCUUUAAAUUCAUGAUCUCUUCUUCACUAAUUUAUUAUUGCAUAUAUGUAUACAUAUACAUAUAUUUCUAAAUAUACACAUUACUAAAUGUAACCUGUGUGGUCUAUCUAAUGUUACUUGUAUGUGUAUUUUCAGGCCUGACUUUAGUCUCCCACUCCUAAUGUUCUCAGUUCCCCAUAGUUUGUUCUGUAGGGCUGAGGCUUGUGGGCUUUUCCCGGUCCAUCUUAGCAUGUCCAUUGGUACUACCCUUGUUCGGUUCAUGGUUAGGCAGACGUGUUGGGGAGACGAGAUGAGUAUAGCUUCUGACAUUGCUAGGAGACAUAACUUCUGCCACCUUCUCUCGCCACCAUGAUACUCUACCUUACUCAGACUAGAAAUGGUAGUUCUCAAAAUUAUGGACUGAAACCAUAUGCCAAAAUAUCUAUCUCUUUAAAUUAUUCCUCCCAGGAGUAUUCCACAGUCUGAUUAUCACACUAAUUUAUUUUUAUUUAUAUCCUGAAGUGCUGCCUUCCCCCUCCUUGGCCCUGUGUUUUCAUCCUUUUCUCCCAGAUUCACUCUGUGUACAGCCACUAAUACGAGUUUUUCCUAAGUAGUGAUGAAGUGUCACUCCCAUGAGUGCUCAGUGUCCUAAACUGGCUGUACCCUACGGUUCCAACUGAUGCAAAGAAAAUGUCAUCUUCUAGGAUACUUCACUGGUUAGAACCUUUACACUCUUAAAGAUCACCAAGUAUGGAAACAAAAUGCCAUAAAUCAAAACCAGCAAAAACAACAAAUGAUAUAUAUGUUGAUUAUCCCCUACCUACCAAGGAUGCUAUAUGCUUGAAUUAACAAAUUAAGAAAUAAGAAUAGUUCUGCAUUUAAAAUUUAAGUUUAAGAUGGAAUAUUAAAAAAAUAAACAGGAAGCAAUGAGCUAUCAGAUCACCAGGCAUCUUUCAAUAUCAAAGAGAAAUGUUCUAAUACUGAAAACAGUAAUUAUCGAUAACUACUGUGGAUGCCCUCACUUGUAAUGAGUAAAUUAGUAAAAUGGAAGAUUAAACUACAACAGAUUUAUACAGUGACACACAAACAGACAAAUGAAGCUAAAGAAAAAAGCUCCUAGAUAUAUCAGGCAUCGUCUAAAGCCUGGUUGAGCCCACCCAUCUCCCAGAUACAACGUGAAGCAGAGUGCUCUCAGUGGUGGUCCAUACUGCUGCUGAGAGUUCCCUAAGGUGAGAAAUGUUUAUUGCCUUUACACUCAGCCUGAAGACCCUCAAAUGCUACAUUUCAGAAAGACUAGGGGAGAGUAGAGAAAUGGCUGAAAAACAAAAAUAGAUAAGUAAAGAAAAUAGCAAACAUGUAGAUACCUGUUAGAAAGUUUGCCUACACAGAAAUGUGUAUCAGUAAGCUAAAAUAUUAGACAAUAUUCCAAAUGCAAAAGCAAAGAGCUGACUAGCCAUGCUCAGAGUGGCAGGGCAGAGAUGACAAAGGAGAUAGAUAAUCAGAGUUCACAUCCAAAGGUCCUCUUACUGUUGUGUCAGAACUAAGACUCUGAUCUUAAUUUUCAACAAUAACUACUAAGAGUAAGAAUAAUACCUUAACUUCCAAAGCAUUGUUUUAGAUUUAUUUUAAGUGUAAGAGUGUUUUGUCUGUCUGUCUGGUGUAUGUAUGUGCACUACAUGCAUGCCUCUGACCUGGUGCUGGCAGAGGCCAGAAGUGGGCACUGGAUCCUGUGAAACUAGAGUUGCAGAUGGUGUGAGUCCAGUCCUCUGCAAAGUCAACACUGCUGUUAACCACAGUUGUCUCGCCAGCUCCUUGAGACAUACUUUUAAAGUUAACAAUGGAAGAAGAUGUAAAAUCAUUUUUUAAAAAAUCAGAGGAAAUAAAAAGCAGAAGUACAUUUGUAGAAAACAAAUGUGAUUAUAUUAACAAUCCCAAAAUAUAUAAAUGACAUGCAUAAAUCACAACAUACAUAAAUUAUAAAAGAAAUGAAUAGAUUUCUAACUAAGACAAAUGGAUUGAGAUUAGCGGGUUUUGGUUUUUUGUUUGCUUUGUGUUUUUUUUUUUUUCCUCAGAAAAUUUCGUUGACUGUAGUGUCAGGUGGUGAUGAGCUGAACAAGAAGUAGUCAGAAUUUCUUAGCUAGCAGUAGUAUCUUAGCUGUGUGUCUUGGGGACAGGUUUUUCUAACAUGGACUGAGAAAAGUCAUAAGUAAAGGGGUGCAAAUCAUUCCAGCAAAGACUAAUCAAAAAGAAUCUAGAAUUGUGUUAUUUUUUAAGUCAUCAAAAUAAUUUAUAAUAGUUAAAUGCCUCUUAAAUACACAUGAUAUCUUCUGAAGCUAAAAGUAAUAUGCACUCAACCAGUUUCUUAAAUCUAUUUGGAAACAUUAAACAUGAUAAAAGU
rnacentral:lncRNA from 1 species